CUGGAGGAAAGAGAGGAUCGAGGAGCAAAAAUACAGAAUUCUACAGCGAGCUGUGGUUCAUAGUGUUGAUGGCAAUGCUGGGCUUGAUCUUGCUGGCCAUUUUUCUGUCCCUGAUACUACAAAGGAAAAUCCACAAAGAGCCGUACAUCAGAGAACGGCCUCCCUUAGGACCUCUUCCGAAGAGGAUGUCGCCGCUGAAUGUCUACCCACCGGGGGGGACCCACAUGUCUGACUCUGUGGCUGAUGUAUCUGAUGUGUCCAGCAAUGUUACCCUAAAAAGUUACACCAUGCACUUUGAGGGCUUGGCUGAUACCAAAAUCCCCCGGUCUGGGACCCCUGUGAGUAUGAG